GGCGCUAUAGCCAAGUGGUUACGGCGACAGAUUCGAAUCUGGCUUCAGACGAUUAUCUGUUCCUCUUUGAGGGCGCAGGUUCAAAUCCUGCUGGCGUCG